rnacentral:rRNA from 1 species
UGACGUUAGCGGCGGACGGGUGAGUAACACGUGGAUAACCUACCUAUAAGACUGGGAUAACUUCGGGAAACCGGAGCUAAUACCGGAUAACAUAUUGAACCGCAUGGUUCAAUAGUGAAAGGCGGCUUUGCUGUCACUUAUAGAUGGAUCCGCGCCGUAUUAGCUAGUUGGUAAGGUAACGGCUUACCAAGGCAACGAUACGUAGCCGACCUGAGAGGGUGAUCGGCCACACUGGAACUGAGACACGGUCCAGACUCCUACGGGAGGCAGCAGUAGGGAAUCUUCCGCAAUGGGCGAAAGCCUGACGGAGCAACGCCGCGUGAGUGAUGAAGGUCUUCGGAUCGUAAAACUCUGUUAUUAGGGAAGAACAAAUGUGUAAGUAACUAUGCACGUCUUGACGGUACCUAAUCAGAAAGCCACGGCUAACUACGUGCCAGCAGCCGCGGUAAUACGUAGGUGGCAAGCGUUAUCCGGAAUUAUUGGGCGUAAAGCGCGCGUAGGCGGUUUUUUAAGUCUGAUGUGAAAGCCCACGGCUCAACCGUGGAGGGUCAUUGGAAACUGGAAAACUUGAGUGCAGAAGAGGAAAGUGGAAUUCCAUGUGUAGCGGUGAAAUGCGCAGAGAUAUGGAGGAACACCAGUGGCGAAGGCGACUUUCUGGUCUGUAACUGACGCUGAUGUGCGAAAGCGUGGGGAUCAAACAGGAUUAGAUACCCUGGUAGUCCACGCCGUAAACGAUGAGUGCUAAGUGUUAGGGGGUUUCCGCCCCUUAGUGCUGCAGCUAACGCAUUAAGCACUCCGCCUGGGGAGUACGACCGCAAGGUUGAAACUCAAAGGAAUUGACGGGGACCCGCACAAGCGGUGGAGC